AUUGUCUCUGCCCCCCUUAAUUAGUAAUUGUCAACAUGAUCCACUUUGAUUUUUUUUUCCUCAUGAGUUUUCUAAAAAGUUGGGAAAUCUGUUAGCCUUCUGAUACACACAGCUAGAGAAUCCCUGGAAUUCGAGGACCAGGGGAACCUCCACAAGCAAUAUGAAAAAGAAGGUAAUGGAAAAUAUCAAGACCGUUGGGCACGAUCCUGCAGCAUCAUCUUCACGAACCUCCAGCUUCAAACGUGUUCUGAUACACCUAAUUAAAAGGGGAAAACGCAAAACUGGUUUUCGAGGAACCAGCACCUCCACACGAGAAGAAAAAUCAAAGAAGAAUUGGAUAUUUUGGAGCCCAAUUACACAAGUUCGUUAUUCUUGUUCCCCACUAUCAAACAAGCACCAAGCAAGGGAAUAUUACUUAGCUAAAAUACCCAUCUCACCCUCAGACGUAGUCUUUAAGGUAAGAUGGUUUUGUUACUACCCUCUUAGGCCUCUUUACUAAUUGCACCUGCUGAUCUGUUGCUUCUGCAUUCUCUUCUUGUUCUCGAGUCUGUGAAAUUGGUUAUGCAAUUGGUCCUGCAUCUUGAGCUUGAACUGCAAUGGUCUGUUGCUCUGUAUCAUGUUCAAACGUAGUCCUUCAGGUACUUGG